rnacentral:rRNA from 1 species
UACGUAGGAGGCGAGCGUUGUCCGGAAUUACUGGGCGUAAAGAGCGCGUAGGCGGCACGGUACGACCGGUGUGAAAGCCCCCGGCUCAACUGGGGGAGGGUCACCGGUAACGGCCGAGCUAUGAGUGCAGGGAGAGGGAAGUGGAACUCCGGGGAGUAGCGGUGAAAUGCGUAGAGAACCCGGAGGAACACCAGUGGCGAAGGCGGCUUCCUGGUCUGCAACUGACGCUGUGGCGCGAAAGCUAGGGGAGCAAACGGG